rnacentral:rRNA from 1 species
UACGUAGGGGGCGAGCGUUGUCCGGAUUCAUUGGGCGUAAAGAGCUCGUAGGCGGUCUGUCGCGUCGGUCGUGAGAACUUGGGGCUUAACCCUGAGCUUGCGGUCGAUACGGGCAUGACUGGAGUUCGGCAGGGGAGACUGGAAUUCCUGGUGUAGCGGUGAAAUGCGCAGAUAUCAGGAGGAACACCGGUGGCGAAGGCGGGUCUCUGGGCCGAUACUGACGCUGAGGAGCGAAAGCGUGGGGAGCGAACAGG